AGCAAUAAAAGAUGUCUCCAUGCUGAAGGAGCAUGUGGUCUGGUGGGGAAGAUGCACAUAGAUGAGAGGACGGGCAUCUGUGACCCUCAGAAGCACCUUCCUGUUUCACAGGCCUUGUCUGACCAGCAGGCUCCCAGGAAAGAGGAUGAACAAGGCUGUGGAGCACCACGUGGUGAGCAGGGCUGGAAUUUGCUCCCACAUCUCGACAGCCACGCUGCCCGUCACACCUUUUCUUUCAUCUUUUCAUUGUUAGUUGCUCAGUCAUGUCCAACUCUUUGCAACCCUGUGGACUAUAGCCUGCCAGGUUCCUCUAUCCAUGGAAUUCUUCAGGCAAGAACACUGCAGUGGGUAGCCAGCCAUUCUUUUCUCCAGGGGAUCUUCCUGAUCCAGGGAUCAAACCCCAAGUCUCCCUCAUUGUAGAAAGAUUCUUUACUGUCUGAGCCACCAGGGCCUUUUUGGCUUCUCAAAGACUACAUUUGCCUCAAAUAUUUGCAUGGCUCUUGGCUGUCUGUGGUGCUUCCAUGGAGUCCAGUGACUUUUAUCAAUGCUUCACUUUCUGUCCUAAAGUGAACUGCAACCUGCAGAAACUGCAGGUCAGAAGAGGAGAAAAAAGGUAAGUCGGUGACUGAAACCAGAGGUGACAACCAGAAGCAGCAACAGGGGAGGUGACAAAGCAGAUAAGAGAAUUUGACGAACUUCAAACCCUGGGAAUAUUUGGUGGAAGGGCAAGUAUUCUUGAGGGCAUCCAUGUACUUAGGAGUUUUAUAAGACUGCUGCAGCCUACCAGGCUCCUCCAUCCAAGGGAUUUUCCAGGCAAGAAUACUGGAGUGGGGUGCCAUUGCCUUCUCCGAUAAGACUGCACAGAGGAUCCUAUUCCAGGCAACCGAAAACCUGGGCUACAACCACUUGGGAAAUGGUCUGUGUGGGAGGACAGGGCUCCCAUGAGCUGCGAAGGCUGACUUUGCUAUGUAGCCAGGAAUUGUAGCUGCCCACACCUGCAGGUCUUAUCUGACCAGUGAAGGUGCAGGUCCCCGGGAGCAGGGGCCGUGCUAGAGCUGUGUUAGGGCAAUGUCAGGAGGCAGCCCUUCAGUCUGGAGCCAGAUUGUCUGUGUCCAUAUCCCAUCUCUGCCACUUGGUUUAUUUUUUAAACAUUUAAUUGAAGUAUAGAUGAUUUACAAUGCAGUGCUAAUUUCUGCUGUAUGGCAAAGUGACUCAGUUAUACACAUAUAUAUUCUAUCAACUGUGGAAAAUUCUGAAAGACAUGGGAAUACCAGACCACCUGAUCUGCCUCUUGAGAAAUCUGUAUGCAGUUCAGGAAGCAACAGUUAGAACUGGACAUGGAACAACAGACUGGUUCCAAAUAGGAAAAGGAGUACGCCAAGGCUGUAUAUUGUCACCCUGCUUAUUUAACUUAUAUGCA
rnacentral:lncRNA from 1 species